GACGAACGCUGGCGGCGUGCCUAACACAUGCAAGUCGAACGAGGUCCAUCCUUCGGGAGAAGACCUAGUGGCGAACGGGUGAGUAACACGUGAAGAACCUGCCCCGAAGACCGGGAUAACCCUCCGAAAGGAGAGCUAAUACCGGAUACCCCCACCGAACCGCAUGGUUUGGUGAGGAAAUGGAUUCCGCUUCGGGAGGGCUUCGCGGCCUAUCAGCUAGUUGGUGGGUAACGGCCCACAAGGCAUCGACGGGUAGCUGGUCUGAGAGGACGAUCAGCCACACUGGGACUGAGACACGGCCCAGACUCCUACGGGAGGCAGCAGUGGGGAAUCUUGCGCAAUGGGCGAAAGCCUGACGCAGCAACGCCGCGUGGGGGAUGAAGGCUCUCGGGUUGUAAACCCCUUUCAGCAGGGACGAAUCAAGACGGUACCUGCAGAAGAAGCCCCGGCUAACUACGUGCCAGCAGCCGCGGUAAU
rnacentral:rRNA from 1 species